CCUACGGGAGGCAGCAGUGGGGAAUCUUAGACAAUGGGGGCAACCCUGAUCUAGCCAUGCCGCGUGAGUGAUGAAGGCCUUAGGGUCGUAAAGCUCUUUCGCCUGUGAUGAUAAUGACAGUAGCAGGUAAAGAAACCCCGGCUAACUCCGUGCCAGCAGCCGCGGUAAUACGGAGGGGGUUAGCGUUGUUCGGAAUUACUGGGCGUAAAGCGCGCGUAGGCGGAUUAGAAAGUUGGGGGUGAAAUCCCGGGGCUCAACCUCGGAACUGCCUCCAAAACUGCUAGUCUAGAGUUCGAGAGAGGUGAGUGGAAUUCCGAGUGUAGAGGUGAAAUUCGUAGAUAUUCGGAGGAACACCAGUGGCGAAGGCGGCUCACUGGCUCGAUACUGACGCUGAGGUGCGAAAGUGUGGGGAGCAAACAGGAUUAGAUACCCUGGUAGUCCACACCGUAAACGAUGAAUGCCAGUCGUCGGGUAGUAUACUAUUCGGUGACACACCUAACGGAUUAAGCAUUCCGCCUGGGGAGUACGGUCGCAAGAUUAAAACUCAAAGGAAUGACGG
rnacentral:rRNA from 1 species